rnacentral:rRNA from 1 species
ACGGGAGGCAGCAGUGGGGAAUAUUGCACAAUGGGCGAAAGCCUGACGCAGCGACGCCGCGUGAGUGAAGAAGUAUCUCGGUAUGUAAAGCUCUAUCAGCAGGGAAGAAAAUGACGGUACCUGACUAAGAAGCCCCGGCUAACUACGUGCCAGCAGCCGCGGUAAUACGUAGGGGGCAAGCGUUAUCCGGAUUUACUGGGUGUAAAGGGAGCGUAGACGGCAAAGCAAGUCUGAAGUGAAAUCCCGGGGCUCAACCCCGGAACUGCUUUGGAAACUGUUUAGCUAGAGUGCAGGAGAGGUAAGCGGAAUUCCUAGUGUAGCGGUGAAAUGCGUAGAUAUUAGGAGGAACACCAGUGGCGAAGGCGGCUUACUGGACUGUAACUGACGCUGAGGCUCGAAAGCGUGGGGAGCAAACAGGAUUAGAUACCCUGGUA